GACGAACGCUGGCGGCGUGCCUAAUACAUGCAAGUCGAACGCUUCUUUCCUCCCGAGUGCUUGCACUCAAUUGGAAAGAGGAGUGGCGGACGGGUGAGUAACACGUGGGUAACCUACCCAUCAGAGGGGGAUAACACUUGGAAACAGGUGCUAAUACCGCAUAACAGUUUAUGCCGCAUGGCAUAAGAGUGAAAGGCGCUUUCGGGUGUCGUUGAUGGAUGGACCCGCGGUGCAUUAGCUAGUUGGUGAGGUAACGGCUCACCAAGGCCACGAUGCAUAGCCGACCUGAGAGGGUGAUCGGCCACACUGGGACUGAGACACGGCCCAGACUCCUACGGGAGGCAGCAGUAGGGAAUCUUCGGCAAUGGACGAAAGUCUGACCGAGCAACGCCGCGUGAGUGAAGAAGGUUUUCGGAUCGUAAAACUCUGUUGUCAGAGAAGAACAAGGACGUUAGUAACUGAACGUCCCCUGACGGUAUCUAACCAGAAAGCCACGGCUAACUACGUG
rnacentral:rRNA from 1 species